GAUGAAGAACGCAGCGAACUGCGAUAAGUAAUGCGAAUUGCAGAAUUCAGUGAAUCAUCGAGUCUUUGAACGCACAUUGCGCCCCCUGGCAUUCCGGGGGGCAUGCCUGUCCGAGCGUCAUUACUGCCCAUCAAGCGCGGCUUGUGUGUUGGGUCCUCGUCCCUCCCGGGGGACGGGCCCGAAAGGCAGCGGCGGUACCGUCCGGUCCUCAAGCGUAUGGGGCUUUGUCACCCGCUCGAUUAGGGCCCGGUCGGCGCCAGCCGUCAACCCCCAAUUUUUUUUUAUUCAGGUUGACCUCGGAUCAGGUAGGGAUACCCGCUGAACUUAAGCAUAUCAAUAAGCGGAGGA
rnacentral:misc_RNA from 1 species